UACGUAGGGGGCGAGCGUUGUCCGGAAUCAUUGGGCGUAAAGAGCGUGUAGGUGGCUUGGAAAGUCUUACGUGAAAGCCUGCGGCUCAACCGCAGAAGUGCGUGGGAAACUUCCUCGCUAGAGUCCGGAAGAGGAGAGCGGAAUUCCUGGUGUAGCGGUGGAAUGCGCAGAUAUCAGGAGGAACACCCGUGGCGAAGGCGGCUCUCUGGGACGGUACUGACACUGAGACGCGAAAGCGUGGGGGAGCGAACAGG
rnacentral:rRNA from 1 species